rnacentral:rRNA from 1 species
AGCGAACGCUGGCGGCAGGCUUAACACAUGCAAGUCGAACGGGCGUAGCAAUACGUCAGUGGCAGACGGGUGAGUAACGCGUGGGAACGUACCUUUUGGUUCGGAACAACCCAGGGAAACUUGGGCUAAUACCGGAUAAGCCCUUACGGGGAAAGAUUUAUCGCCGAAAGAUCGGCCCGCGUCUGAUUAGCUAGUUGGUGAGGUAACGGCUCACCAAGGCAACGAUCAGUAGCUGGUCUGAGAGGAUGAUCAGCCACAUUGGGACUGAGACACGGCCCAAACUCCUACGGGAGGCAGCAGUGGGGAAUAUUGGACAAUGGGCGGCAAGCCUGAUCCAGCCAUGCCGCGUGAGUGAUGAAGGCCCUAGGGUUGUAAAGCUCUUUUGUGCGGGAAGAU